rnacentral:lncRNA from 1 species
CAAUCCUUGCAUUCCAGAACUAUAUAGACAGCAUAGGUUGACACAUUAUAGUCUGCUAUUUGAGGGUAUAUGAGGUGGCUUAGCCUGCUAUAUGAGGGUUCCCACUGGUCUCACUUGAGUUACCUAUUAUAUUAGGGUCACUCGCAUGUUGUCCUUACCAGUAGUGCAGUAUUGACACCCUUCCCAUCAGGGCAUAAAUUGGAUCCCAAUUCAGCUAUAAUGCAUCAGUUGGGGAUGUU